GGGCCGCUAGCUCAACAGGCAGAGCAGCUGACUCUUAAUCAGCGGGUUCGAGGUUCGAGUCCUCGGCGGCUCA
rnacentral:tRNA from 1 species